rnacentral:tRNA from 1 species
GCAGGUGUGGUUUAGUGGCAAAACGAGUGCUUCCCAAGCAUUAGUCGGGAGUCCGAUUCUCCCCACCUGCA